GUUACCAAAUUAAAAGUUUCUAUGUUAAGAUAUCCUGCAAAAGAAAAAGGAAAGUGAAUUAGUUUCUAAAAAAGAAAUAAGAAAUUUUCUAAAAAAAGAAAUAGAAAGAUGAGUUAGUGUCUAAAACUAAAAAGGAAAGUUUCUAAAAACGAAAAAUGAAAUUUCUAAAAACCGAAAAGGAAAGUUUCUAAACCUAGAAAUAGAAAACUAACUUAGUUUGUAAAAACAAAUUAAGAAAAUCCCUAACCUAAAAAUAGAAAGUAAAUAAAUCAUAAUCAUAACCUAAUUAUAAAACUAAUCAAAUACAAAAAGCCCAAUCGUCAAUCCCCGGCAACGGCACCAAAAAC